GGAGUGGGUAGGUGCAAGAGAAGCCUAGGUUGUGAGCACUGGCUCAGGGCUGCAUCUGCCUGGUGAAAGGGUGCCCUUUUCAAGUAACACAAAUGCACCCUGUGGGCUACUGGCUACCCGGUUCUUGCUUCAAUACCACACUCCUCCUGAGGCAGGAAGAUUUCAUUCAAGUUAGUGCAGUAGAAGAAGCCUAGAUUUUGGAGUCUGGUUUGAAUCCCAACUCUACCACCCACCAGCUGUGUGACAUUUAAAACUUAACCUGUCUGAAUCUGGAUCUGUUAGGAUUCCUUGAGCGUAAGCAACAGAAUUCAGCUCUGAGUAAAUGAAGUUAAAAAGAGAAAUUACUGAAGAAAUAAGGUGGCUCACAGAAUCAAAGCAAUGCUGAAGGAGCAAGGCAGGCAGCUCUGGGAUCCAAGACGCGGGAGCUAAGUGGGGGGAUUGCAUCAUUUGGACCCAUUCUUCACCUCUCCCCGCAUCCAUGCCCUUUGCAGGUCACUUUGCAGCACCCACCCAUCAUGGGUGGGGUGAAUUGCCCCAACCCAUGACUCUAGACUCAGGAUGUAAACCCUAACCCUACUCCCCGCCCCACAACAAU
rnacentral:lncRNA from 1 species